ACUAGGAUUAGAUACCCUAUUAUUUAAAUUUAAAAUUAUAAUACUAAAAUAGUAAUUAAUUAUUUAUUGAAACUUAAAUAAUUUGGCGGUAUUUUAGUUCAUUUAGAGGAAUCUGUUUAAUAAUUGAUAUUCCACGAAUAAAUUUACUUAAUUUAUUAAUUUUGUAUAUCGUUGUUAUAAAAAUAUUUUUUAAUAAAAUUAAUAUUUAAAAAUUAUUAUAUAAAUUUAAAUCAGAUCAAGAUGCAGAUUAUAAUUAAGAAUAUAAUGGAUUACAAUGAAAUUAUUUAUAUGGAUAUAAGUUUGUAAAAAUUAAUUGAAAGUGGAUUUAAAUGUAAUUUUAUUUAAUUUGAUAAUAUGAUUAAAAAUUAAAAUAUGUACACAUCGC
rnacentral:rRNA from 1 species